UACGUAGGGGGCAAGCGUUGUCCGGAAUCAUUGGGCGUAAAGAGCGUGUAGGCGGCCCGAUAAGUCCGCCGUGAAAGUCCAGGGCUCAACCCUGGAAUGCCGGUGGAAACUGUCGGGCUGGAGUCCGGAAGAGGCGAGUGGAAUCCUGGUGUAGCGGUGAAAUGCGCAGAUAUCAGGAGGAACACCAAUGGGCGAAGGCAGCUCGCUGGGACGGUACUGACG
rnacentral:rRNA from 1 species